GGGCGGUUAGCUCAGUUGGUAGAGCGUUCGCUUGACGUGCGAAAGGCCACAGGUUCGAAUCCUGUAUCGCCCA
rnacentral:tRNA from 1 species